rnacentral:rRNA from 1 species
GACGUAGGGCGCGAGCGUUGUCCGGAUUUAUUGGGCGUAAAGAGCUCGUAGGCGGCUUGUCGCGUCGUCCGUGAAAACCUGCAGCUCAACUGCAGGCUUGCGGUCGAUACGGGCAGGCUAGAGUUCGGUAGGGGAGACUGGAAUUCCUGGUGUAGCGGUGAAAUGCGCAGAUAUCAGGAGGAACACCGGUGGCGAAGGCGGGACUCUGGGCCGAUACUGACGCUGAGGAGCGAAAGCGUGGGGAGCGAACAGG